GAUAUCGGAAGGAACACCAAUAUGGCGAAGGCACUGUACUGGGCUUUUCCUGACGCUCAGAGACGAAAGCUGAAGGAGUGAUUAGGAUUAGAUACCCUAGUAAUUUCAGCCGUAAACGAUGAAAACUCACUGUCGAGCCAAUAUAUGGAGCGGUGGUCAAGCUAACGCGUGAAGUUUUCCGCCUGGGGAUUACGCUUGCAAAAGUGAAACUCAAAGGAAUUGACGGGGACCCGCACAAGCGGUGGAGUAUGUGGUUUAAUUCGAUGCAACGCGAAAAACCUUACCAGGGUUUGAAAUAAUUUCAAAACUUCUUGAAAGAGAAGCCUCCUUCGGGAUGGAAUUACAGGUGGUGCAUGGCUGUCGUCAGCUCGUGUUGUGAAAUGUCAAGUUAAGUCUUGUAACGAGCGCAACCCAUGUCUCUUGUUGCUGUUUACAGUGCUUAAGAGAAACUGCCGAUCAACAUCGGAGGAAGGUGUGGAUGAUGUCAAGUCAGCAUGCCCCUUACAUCCUGGGCUACACACGUACUACAAUGGUCGAGACAAAGGGUCGCUAACCUGCAAAGGCAUGCCAAUCUCAUAAACUCGAUCUCAGUUCGGAUUGUACUCUGCAACUCGAGUACAUGAAGGUGGAAUCGCUAGUAAUCGCUGGUCAGCAUACAGCGGUGAAUACGUUCCCGGGUCUUGUACACACUGCCCGUCACACCAUGGAAGUCGACCCUUCCCUAAGUCGUUACUCGAACCUGUAAAGGACGAGGACGCCGAAGGCAGAGUUGGUGACUAGGGUGAAGUCGUAACAAGGUAGCCGUACUGGAAGGU
rnacentral:rRNA from 1 species